rnacentral:misc_RNA from 1 species
AUCGAGCCAGUGAGAGAGAUGGGAGUGAUGGAUAAGCUGAAGGUGUUCGCUGUCCAGGAGCCCGUCGUCGUCGCCUCCUGUCUCAUCGCCGGAUUCGGCCUUUUUCUUCCGGCUGUUGUCAGGCCUAUUCUGGAUUCCUUUGAGACAGCCAAACAAGUUCCACCGCCAGCUCUAACUGAUGUGGUGGCUGGAGUGACAGGCCAAAAGCGUGA